CGGGGCGUGGCUCAGCUUGGUAGAGCACCUGCCUUGGGAGCAGGGGGUCGCAGGUUCGAAUCCUGCCGCUCCGACCA
rnacentral:tRNA from 3 species